rnacentral:rRNA from 1 species
CAGUCGCCGCGGUAAAACGAAGGGUGCAAGCGUUACUCGGAAUUACUGGGCGUAAAGCGUGCGUAGGUGGUGGUUUAAGUCCGUUGUGAAAGCCCUGGGCUCAACCUGGGAAUUGCAGUGGAUACUGGGUCACUAGAGUGUGGUAGAGGAUAGUGGAAUUUCCGGUGUAGCAGUGAAAUGCGUAGAGAUCGGAAGGAACAUCUGUGGCGAAGGCGACUAUCUGGGCCAACACUGACACUGAGGCACGAAAGCGUGGGGAGCAAACAGGAUUAGAGACCCCUGUAGUCCCUGUCUCUUAUAC